ACCCUUCUGUGGUAAACAUAUCAGAUGAAAUGGCCAAAACUGCACAGUGGAAGGCUCUUUCCAUGAACACAGAGAAUGCCAAAGUAACAAGACCUAACUUGAGCCCUGAAAAUGAGUCAUGUGUGAAAAUAGACAUUGAAAAAACAUCUGCAAUAAAGUAUGUAGAUGCUGAAACCUCAUUAUAGAGAUAAAACAAUGAUAUUAUUUUAUAGGAUAUAUUGAAAGAGAGUGACUUUACAGCUUCUUUAAGUACUAGGUACUUAUGUGAACAACAGUGAGAUUUUCCAACAAGAAAUGUCUGUCACUGUGGAAAUAUUUAUUUUAGUGGAAUGUUUGUUUCAAUUUUUUAAAAGGAAAAAUAAUUUCUUUUUUUAGUUAUCAGUAAGUCAAAGAUCAUCUUUAACUAUAAAUUAUUGGUUUGCAUUGUAUCUGUGAUAUUUUUAUAUAAUUUUAAAUACAAAUGUCCUGUUAUCAGGCAUUUGCUAGUUGGGUUUUUGCAAAUGUUAUGCCAGUUUAUAAGAACAAAUGAUACAUAUGCAAUUUAACGAAUUGCUGUAUUUCAGCCUUUAUUUCAUAUUAUUUUAUGGAUUAAAUAAUUGUAUUUGUAUAUGAAUUAUUUCCUGUUGUAUUGUUAAAUACCAUUGUAUUGCAUUUUUUAAAAUAAGUCUUAUAUGUAGUAGUCAACUUCUCAGUUUUAUUUUUUAAUUCACCAACCACAAGAGCAGAUUAUACUGAAAAAAUAAAGCAGUUUUUUAAAUAUAGAAGUCUAGAUUGGCAUUUAUUUAGACUGCCUUUUAAUAAGAUUAAACAUGAUUAUGGUUCUCUUUUUGUAAGAUAAAAUUUAAUUUUCUCCUGGGCGUCCUAUAAAUAUAUUCCAGAGAGCUGGGGGAGUUUGAUGAUUGGUAACUGUAGGAGAGGGAAGAAAUUUCUAUUACAUAAAUGAAAAUUUUCUAGUUAGUAUUGUAUUAGAACAUCUGGAUUUACAUUAAGAGUUGACUUCUCUUACAUAAACUUUAUUGCUACUAGACAUUGAAAAUAAAUUUAUGUAGGUUCUUGAAUCCAUCAUUUUAACAUUCAGUUCCAGGAAAUAAAACCAGAAUUGCUUUAAAAUUAUGUUAAAUUUUAAAAAAAUGUUUUCCAAAGCAUAUUUGUCUUAGAUCAAUAAAAGCAUUUAUAUAAAAUGCUGGGUGCAACUGUGUUUUAUCUGAUUACGUUUAAGCCCUGCGUUUUUGUUCUAUU
rnacentral:lncRNA from 1 species